rnacentral:tRNA from 1 species
UGGCUCAGAUGGUAAAGCAUCUGCCUACAAUGCAGGAGACCCGGGUUUGAUCCCUGG